GGGCAGCACAGACACUAAAAUUGGAACGAUGCAGAGAAGGUUAGCAUGACCCCUGAACAAGGAUAACAUGCAAAUUCAUGAAGCUUCCUCAUUUUUU
ensembl:snRNA U6 U6 spliceosomal RNA